ensembl:lncRNA
UGGAGGCUAAUUACUUUACAAUAUUGUAUUGGUUUUGCCAUACAUUGAUAUGACUCUUUUAGAGUAGAUAUUACUAUUUAUUCCUGGACUUCCCUAGUGGCUCAGAUGGUAAAGUGUCUGCCUACAAUGUGGGAGAUCUGGGUUCAAUCUCUGUGUCAGGAAGAUCCCCUAGAGAAGGAAAUGGCAACCCACUCCAGUAUUCUUGCCUGGAAAAUCCCAUGGAUGGAGGAGCCUGGUAGGCUACAGUCCAUGGGGUUGCAAUUACUAUUCCUAUUUUGUAGGACAAGCAACUAAUAUCCCAAAAUAGUUGGUAGCAGAGCAAAUUGUUAAAUUCAAACCUAGGUAACUCCAGCAUUUGUAUCUUUUCCUUUGCCACAUGGUCAAUGAAGUUCUUGGAAUCCUAGAGUAUUCAGAAAAGAGUAUCUUCCAUUUGUUCCUCUUCCAAGUUUCCUGGUUCUGACUCAAGUGCCUCAACUUGAAUGAGUUCAUCCUGAUGAUGAGUGGAGCAGUUGAUAGGCCACACUGGAAGCCGAGGUACCACUGGACUACUUGGGGAGCACUGACUUGGGGCAGGUGAGCAGAUGCUGCUGGUGUGGAUUCCAAAGGCCUUCUCAUCUGAGCUCUUCAUCUUCAUGGUAGGACCUAAGCGCCCAGGGCAUAGAAUUCUCCUGCCAGCCUGAUGGAACAUUUUGUUUGCUUCUGUCAUCCAUCUCUCUUUAUGCCCCAUUUCUUAUUAACCAUCCUUCUGAUUGACAUUUUUUGGUUAUGGGCAUAUGUAAGAAUAAGACUUUCCUUGAUAUCAAUGGGAAUUGCUGUAUCUGUCCUGUGAUCCAGAUAUAUAGUGUUUUAUUUAAUCUCUAAAAGUAAAAAAUAAUCCCUCUAAAAUACCCAUCCUAUUUCUCAUUUCCAAAUUGUAGUUGAGGAUGUGGAGGGUGAAGAUACUCCCUCAAUACACCAUUUGUCACUAGAUGAGCCACCGAAUUGCUUUUGCUUUUCACCCAACAAACUGGUUAGUGGGAUCCCGUGGCUCUCAAGGCUGGAAGCGUCACCUAAUUUAUCACUUACCCUUUCAGCAAGAUUUCACAUUUAAAACAGCAAAGCAACAAUAAUAACUAGAGAAACUCUUAAGAGAAUGUAGUUCUUA